AGCCAGGGCUCGCCCACGUUCUCGACCACGUUUACAGAAAUGAAUUUACAAAAGGCCUUCCUUGGAAAAAUUUUUCGAACCAGGGUUCCGGAGGGGACCUUGGGGAGGAUCCAUGG
rnacentral:rRNA from 1 species